rnacentral:rRNA from 1 species
GGGGCGCGCCCCGGGCGGGGCGGGGGCACGGGGGGAACGCGAAGAACCUUACCUACUCUUGACAUCCAGAGAAUUCGCUAGAGAUAGCUUAGUGCCUUCGGGAACUCUGAGACAGGUGCUGCAUGGCUGUCGUCAGCUCGUGUUGUGAAAUGUUGGGUUAAGUCCCGCAACGAGCGCAACCCUUAUCCUUUGUUGCCAGCACGUAAUGGUGGGAACUCAAAGGAGACUGCCGGUGAUAAACCGGAGGAAGGUGGGGAUGACGUCAAGUCAUCAUGGCCCUUACGAGUAGGGCUACACACGUGCUACAAUGGCGUAUACAAAGAGAAGCGAACUCGCGAGAGCAAGCGGACCUCAUAAAGUACGUCGUAGUCCGGAUCGGAGUCUGCAACUCGACUCCGUGAAGUCGGAAUCGCUAGUAAUCGUAGAUCAGA